rnacentral:misc_RNA from 1 species
CAGGCAGAAUAGCUCAGGAAAAGUACAACUUAAAACAAGCAUAGCUCAAAAUUUAAACGCCCCAGUCAAAACCUACGAACACAGGCACAGGGACAGAUAUCUUAAAAUCUAAAAGACAAGCUCAUGAGGCUUCAUCCCUGACCUAAGAGAGAACCUGGCACCUAAGUAAGUCUUCAGGUCUGGGACUACAUCAAUUGCUUUAAUCAAUUCAGCAUCAACAGCCUUUUGAUCAUCCUUCUUUUCUUGGGAGACUGGUUUCUUCUCCUCUUUCUCAGCCUCAAAAAACUCACCCUCCACCUUCUUGUUCUUCUUCUUGGCCUCCUUUCCGAAAUACUUGUCAUCAAAUUUCUCGACAUUGACUCCACUUAUAUCAACUUUGGUCGAGGUUCCAAUUACAUAAGCUUGAUUCACACGACGCAGAGGAACACCAUUGACCUUAAAGGGACCAGUGACAAGAAGCAAACCAGAAGUCAGCUGCUUCAAGAACACAACCCUCUUCCCCAUAAACCUCCCGGCCAACAGAAUCAGCACCGUCCCCGGCGUGAUGCUCGCCCUCAGCUUAGUCGGCUUCGCCUUGCGACGGUUAGCAAUAGGGAUCUUGACAUCAUCGGCCGGGUAGAACUUCGGCGGCUUCUCCUCCGUCUUCGCCGGUGCCGGCGCGGCGUCGUGACGGGGGAACGCGCCGCCAUUCUUGGCCUUGAUCGCCCAGAGGCCACGCUUAUGGUACAUCUUCGAGCGGGAGUACUUGCCGAUCCCGCGGACGAGAUCCGGGUUCCGGCUGGUGGUUCGGGGCUUGCGGGGUGCCAUCGGAGAGGAGGAGACGGCGGCGGCGAGAUG